rnacentral:rRNA from 1 species
CUGCAACCCGCCUGCAUGAAGUCGGAAUUGCUAGUAAUCGCGGAUCAGCAUGCCGCGGUGAAUACGUUCCCGGGCCUUGUACACACCGCCCGUCACACCAUGGGAGCCGGUAAUACCCGAAGUCAGUAGUCCAACCUCGUGAGGACGCUGCCGAAGGUAGGAUUGGCGACUGGGGUGAAGUCGUAACAAGGUAUC